GCGGUUUGAAUGGGCGCAUGGCUCUGGUCGCGCAUGCGCUUUCGGCUCCACUCUGGAGCUGACAUCGGAGAGGGAGGAGAGGUCACCAGCACUGAGGGAGCCCGUCGUUAGAUUAAGGUAAGUGGCUGAAGGGAUUUUAACCCAGCUGGAGGGGGUCCCUGAGGGUGGGGUGGACCUAAGGACUAUAGUGGUCCUUUAAAAUGCUUAAAUGAAACCUGUUACUGUUGUUAGAGACUAGAAAUCAUGCACACUCAGUAAGUACAAG